GCGAAUGUGGUCAGACACUGACUUUAUAAGUCAAGCUUAGUUUCAACUUACAUCAAAAUUCCUUCACGAGUAGUUUUUCUGCCUUCAAUUAAACCAUGUCUGGCAUUCGGAUUUUGUGUCGAGCUAUGGUCCGGCCACCGUCCUCUCUGAAGAUAGCCACCAAACCCUCUCAACUGAUAACUACAUCAGUGCCCAGACGCACAAACACGCUCAUGCAGUAUCAAGCCCCCAAGAAUGUUCUGAAGCCAUGGGAGAUGGCCACAGCGCAGCUGUGUUUGGCGACGGCCCUGCUCGGACCGACCUGGUGGUUUUUCCUUCAUAUCAAUGACUACAGGAAGAAAGAUGACGAUCAAACAGACGACUAACACCAUGGCAUCCUCAACCCAACAAAGUCCUGAAUAUCAGACUACCCGCAGACAUCACUUGAGCUUGAUAAAAAACAGGAAUAAUUAAAUCGCUGUAGUGAUCAUGGCACUGACAUAAAUUUCAUUAGCAAGCAGUUACUAACAUGUAAUACAAAUUUAUAAAGGCAAAUUGUUAAGACUUUGAAAACACUGCCGGGUUGAAUUUUAAUUUUUGAGUUCUUUAAAUUUGUCGUUGUACUUUGGAAACCUUAAACCCUAAAGAAAAACAAAGACGGUUCAAGUAAAGUUCGUAACUUCACGCAGUGUUAAAUCGAAUUCCUAGACUCACUCAAGGUCAACUUAUUACAUAUUAGGGUCAUUUAGAGACGAAAUGUGUCCUAAUUAUCAUGAGAAUUAAUUUGUUUUCAACUGGAAUUCAAUAAAUCAUCACUUCUUACUUGGGAAGAACAUUUGACAAAUUAAGAUGUGCACACAUAUUUUAUUCCAGAGAAGACGAAAACAGGGAAUCGUCAGAAACAGUGGAGAAAAUUCCAACUUGACCAGUCAUUUUAGACACGAGUUACAUUUCAUAAGAGGGAUACUCUACAAUAAUGUAUGGAGAAAUUGAAUUCAAUAAAGUCCACACUAUGUAUAAAUUCAA